UGGUGGAGUGAUUUGUCUGGUUAAUUCCGUUAACGAACGAGACCUCAGCCUACUAAUUAGUUUGCCCAAUGUUUCAUUGGUGUAAACAUCUUAGAGGGACUAUCGGUUUAUAUCCGAAGGAAGUAUGAGGCAAUAACA
rnacentral:rRNA from 1 species